rnacentral:piRNA from 1 species
CUAUGAACAGAUGUACCCCAAAUCAUCC